rnacentral:ncRNA from 1 species
CCAAAGGCUCUUUUAAGAGCCACCCACUAUGUCCAAACUGAGCUC